GCCUGGGAAGUACGUACGCAAGUAUGAAACUUAAAGGAAUUGGCGGGGGAGCACCACAAGGGGUGAAGCCUGCGGUUCAAUUGGAGUCAACGCCAGAAAUCUUACCUGGGGAGACAGCAGAAUGAAGGUCAAGCUGAAGACUUUACCAGACACGCUGAGAGGUGGUGCAUGGCCGUCGCCAGCUCGUGCCGUGAGAUGUCCUGUUAAGUCAGGUAACGAGCGAGACCCCUGCGUCUAGUUGCUACCAUUACUCUCUGGAGCAGUGGAGCGAAUUAGACGGACCGCCACAGUUAAUGUGGAGGAAGGAAGGGGCCACGGCAGGUCAGUAUGCCCCGAAACCCUAGGGCUACACGCGGGCUGCAAUGGUAUU
rnacentral:rRNA from 1 species